rnacentral:siRNA from 1 species
GUAUCAAGAAGCCUUGAACUAUU